rnacentral:lncRNA from 1 species
CAGAGUUGGUGUCAUGUGGGGCCGUCAUUAUAGCCGCCGGCCCCAUAGACAAGGAGCAGCCAGUGCCUCCCCCAAGGUUGCGCAUGGCCUGGCACAGCCCGAGGAGACUGGCCUGGCUGAAGAGGCCUGAGUUAUGAAGGCAUUUAAGGAGAAGAUGAGGAGAUUAAGGAGGUAACAGCUAGCUGGUAGUUAAUAGCUGAGGGAAGUAAUUGCUGGCUCCAGUAACUAGGUGCUGGGCGCAGCAGCUGGGAGCUGAGCUCCUAUAUAUGUAACCCUGAACUCAGUUGAAUGAAUUAAGCAAUGAAGUGAUUAUCUCUAACCUCUCAUCUCCUGCUACCUCUAAUCUCACCCCCCUGCUGCCAGGCGCCAGGCACACCCUGGCGCCCCCAUCUCCUACCUCUAGCUACAACCUGCGCAGCCAAGGCCCUCCUGAGCUAGGUGUGGAGGCCCUUGACAACUUGGUAUCAGGAUUCCGGCGAUCCUCCGGCCACCAGUCCUCUUCCUCCACUGCGCCCUCCCAUCCUGCUGCUGAUACCUCACCCACCCACUCCACCGCUUCCACUGCGCCACCCAUGGCUGAACCUACCAUCUCCGACUUAGCCAAGAUGCUUGGGGACCUUACCAAGAGCAUGGUGACUAUGCAGCAGCAGAUCGUCACGCUACAGCAAGCCCAGCUACCACCAUCAUCUUCCAAUGGCUCCCGUGGGUCUGGUUUCGGUGACCACCAUGGUGAGCGACCGCCGCGGUUCCAGAAAUUGGAUUUCCCCAAGUUCGACGGGAAAUCCGAUCCUCUGGCCUUCAUCAACCGCUGCGAAUCUUACUUCGUCCAACAACGCAUCGCUGCCGAGGAGCAGGUCUGGAUGGCGUCAUACAACCUUGAAGGUGGCGCCCAACUCUGGUACAUCCAGGUGCAGCAGACCGAGGGCACGCCGUCUUGGCGCCGCUUCACCGAGCUCAUCAACCUCCGCUAUGGUCCGCCGCUCCGCUCCAACCCCAUGGGCGAACUGAUGGAGUGCAAGCACACAGGAUCGGUGGCGGAGUAUCAAGACCGCUUCGAGGCGCUGUUGCCAAGGGUCGGGCCACUUGAGGAAAGCCAGCGUGUCCAGGCCUUCACGGCAGGCCUGGGUCCACCACUCAGCCAUGAUGUGGAAAUGCAGAACCCCCAGACUUUGCUCGUGGCCAUGAGUCUGGCCCGCAAGCUGGAGUUGCGCGAGCAGAGCGUCGCCCGCGUCGCGGCCACGGCUCCGCCACGCCUCGCGGGACGUGGCCUACUGCAGGGGCCACAACAGCCCUUGGCGCUGCCCGCUCCCCCAGCCCACGCUACUCCAACCCCAUCGUUCGAAGGCCGCCAAGUUCGCCGGCUGUCGCCGGCUGACAUGGACGAUCGCCGACGCCAGGGCCUGUGUUUCAACUGCAAUGAAAAGUAUACACGCGGCCAUAAUCGCGUCUGUCAACGCCUAUUUUUCCUUGACAUCGCAGAAACCGACGACCAGGAGGACGACGUCGAGGCUGCUCUGGCUGCCGUGAACAUGGACAAGCCGCUGAUCUCACUCAGCGCGAUCGCCGGCAUCCGCACGAGCGAGACGAUGCAGAUCCGCAUCAACCUGGGCGGAGCGUCUCUGCUGGCGCUGCUGGACUCAGGCAGCACGCACAAUUUCGUCGCGGUCGACGCUGCAGGCCGGACCAACCUCCGGCUCAGGCUCCGCAGCGGCCUGAAGGUCACCGUGGCGAACGGCGAAAGGGUACCGAGCCCAGGCGUGUACCGCGCAGCCACCUUCUCCAUCGACGACGCCUCUUUCUCCACCGACUUCUAUGCCCUUCCGCUCGCCGGCUAUGACGUGGUGCUGGGCAACCAAUGGCUGGCAACGUUGGGCCCAAUCCUGUGGGAUUUUGGUGCCCUCACCAUGUCCUUCUGGCACCAGGGACGCCAGGUGUGCUGGAAGGGCGUGGCCAGUACCCCCAGCCCAAGACUGAAGGCAUGCAACGGCUCUGAUAUCAUGACAGCCCUGCUGGAAGAAUUCUCCUCCGUCUUCUCCGAGCCCACUGGCAUGCCCCCACCGCGCUCCAGGGAGCACUCCAUCAACCUCGUCCCUGGCUCUCCUCCAGUGGCGGUCCGGCCCUACCGCUACCCCGCCUCACACAAGGAUGAGUUGGAGCGCCAAUGCUCCGACAUGCUGGCCCAAGGGCUGAUCAGGCACAGCACCUCUGCAUUUUCCUCUCCGGUCCUGCUCGUGAAGAAAGCCGACGGGUCAUGGAGGUUUUGCGUGGACUACCGCGCCCUUAACGCCAUUACUAUCAAAGACGCCUACCCCAUCCCCAUCGUCGACGAGCUCUUGGAUGAGCUGCACGGUGCCCAGUUCUUCACCAAGCUGGACCUUCGUUCCGGGUACCACCAAGUUCGAAUGAACAUCGCCGACAUCGAAAAGACGGCGUUCCGUAAACAUGACGGCCUGUACAAGUUCCUGGUCAUGCCGUUUGGCCUCUGCAAUGCCCCGGCAACGUUCCAGGCCCUCAUGAACGAUGUGUUGCGGCCGUUCCUCCGCCGCUUCGUCCUCGUUUUCUUCGACGACAUACUUAUCUACAGCAGCUCCUUCGCCGAACACCUUCAGCACAUGCGUGCAGUCCUCACCACCCUACAACAGCACCAUCUCUUCGUCAAGAGGUCCAAAUGCGACUUUGGGGCCUCCAACAUCUCCUACCUUGGGCACGUCAUUUCAGCCCAAGGCGUCGCCAUGGACCCCGAGAAAGUGCAAGCAGUAGCGGACUGGCCCCAACCAAGAUCAGCACGGGCAGUGCGCGGGUUCUUGGGACUUGCUGGCUACUACCGCAAGUUUGUGAAGGAAUUCGGCACCAUUGCUGCCCCGCUGACCGCUUUACUCAAAAAGGAAGGAUUCACUUGGUCACCUGAGGCGGAAGCGGCUUUCACAGCCCUCAAGACCGCCAUCACAACGGCCCCCGUUCUGGUCCUGCCCAACUUCAACCACCUGUUCGUUGUGGAAUGCGACGCCUCAACCUACGGGUUUGGCGCAGUGCUGCUCCAGGACCAGCACCCGGUGGCUUUCUUCAGCCGCCCUGCUGCACCGCGUCAUCGCUCUCUGGCGGCCUACGAGCGUGAACUGAUCGGCCUCGUCUUGGCCAUCCGCCAUUGGAGGCCAUAUCUAUGGGGUCGUCCCUUCCUGGUGAGAACUGACCACUACAGUCUAAAAUUCUUGCUGGACCAGCGGCUGUCCACCAUUCCCCAGCAUCACUGGGUGGGCAAGCUCCUAGGAUUCGACUUCACGGUGGAAUACAAGGCUGGCAGCGCCAACACAGUGGCUGAUGCCCUCUCCCGCCGCGACACAGAAGAGGCGGCUGUCCUGGCCAUCUCAGGCCCCCGCUUCGACUUCAUCAGCCGCCUUCGCCAAGCUAAUCAGCAAGAUCCGGCGUUGGUCGCCCUCCAGCAGGAAAUCAGUUCUGCCCAGCACACUGCUCACUGGGCCAUCACCGAUGGCCUGGUCACAUUCAAGGGCCGACUUUACCUGCCUCCAGGCGCCCCACUCCUUCAGGAGCUCAUCACUGCUGUCCAUGAGGACGGACACGAGGGCGUCCAGCGCACACUCCACCGGCUCCAACGCGACAUCCAUGCGCCUAACCUCAGGGCGCUUGUCCAGGACUUUGUCCGGACCUGUGCCACAUGUCAGCGCUACAAGACAGAGCAUUUGCACCCGGCUGGCUUACUCCUUCCCCUGCCGGUGCCAUCCUCAAUCUGGACUGACAUAGGCAUGGACUUCAUCGAAGCAUUGCCAAAAGUGGGCGGCAAGACAGUAAUUCUCACUGUGGUGGAUCGUUUCAGCAAAUACUGCCAUUUUAUUCCGCUGGCUCACCCCUACUCAGCGGAAUCAGUGGCUCAAGCUUUCUUCUCCGAAAUUGUGCGCCUGCAUGGUGUGCCACAAUCCAUAGUCUCUGAUCGAGAUCCGGUCUUUACCUCACUGUUUUGGAAGGAAUUGAUGCGACUUGCAGGGAUCAAGCUGCACAUGACUACAGCCUUUCAUCCGCAGUCUGAUGGACAGACAGAGGCCGCCAACAAGGUCAUUGUCAUGUACCUUCGCUGCAUGACUGGAGAUCGCCCCAAGCAGUGGCUGCGCUGCUUACCUUGGGCAGAAUUCAUCUACAAUACUGCAUACCAGUCUGCACUAAAGACAACACCAUUCCAGAUCGUGUAUGGGCGUGAGCCACCAUCCAUCCGCUCCUAUGAGCCAGGGGAAACUCGCGUGGCAGCAGUGGCCAAGACCAUGGCAGAACGAGACGAGCUCCUGGCUGAUGCCCGGGCACGGCUGGAACAAGCACAAGCCGUGUACAAGCGCUCCUACGACAAACACCACCGCGACGUUCGCUUCAGCGUGGGCGAUUGGGUAUGGCUCCGCCUUCGACACCGCACUCCGGCUUCACUGCCAGACACCACGAAGGGCAAGCUGCGUCCUCGCUUCUACAGACCAUACCGCAUCACCGCCGCCAUCAACGAAGUCGCCUACCGCCUCGAGCUACCUCCCCGCGCCCGACUCCACGACGUCUUCCACGUCGGGCUGCUCAAGAAAUUCGUUGGCACUCCCCCAGCUUCGCCACCGGCCCUGCCUCCCAUUCACAAUGGUGCCAGUCAACCAGUACCAGAGCGCGCUACGCGCACACGCCUCGCCAGGGGCGUCCGUCAGAUCCUGAUCCACUGGCAAGGCGAACCAGCAGCUUCAGCGACAUGGGAAGACCUCGACAGCUUUCAAGCCCGAUACCCCACCUUCCAGCUCGAGGACGAGGACGAGCUGCUCGUCGAGGGGGGGAGAGAUGUCAUGUGGGGCCAUCAUUAUAGCCGCCGGCCCCAUAGACAAGGAGCAGCCAGUGCCUCCCCCAAGGUUGCGCAUGGCCUGGCACAGCCCGAGGAGACUGGCCUGGCUGAAGAGGCCUGAGUUAUGAAGGCAUUUAAGGAGAAGAUGAGGAGAUUAAGGAGGUAACAGCUAGCUGGUAGUUAAUAGCUGAGGGAAGUAAUUGCUGGCUCCAGUAACUAGGUGCUGGGCGCAGCAGCUGGGAGCUGAGCUCCUAUAUAUGUAACCCUGAACUC